rnacentral:rRNA from 1 species
AGUGAACGCUGGCGGUAGGCCUAACACAUGCAAGUCGAACGGCAGCACAGUAAGAGCUUGCUCUUACGGGUGGCGAGUGGCGGACGGGUGAGGAAUACAUCGGAAACUACUUUUUCGUGGGGGAUAACGUAGGGAAACUUACGCUAAUACCGCAUACGACCUACGGGUGAAAGCAGGGGAUCUUCGGACCUUGCGCGAUUGAAUGAGCCGAUGUCGGAUUAGCUAGUUGGCGGGGUAAAGGCCCACCAAGGCGACGAUCCGUAGCUGGUCUGAGAGGAUGAUCAGCCACACUGGAACUGAGACACGGUCCAGACUCCUACGGGAGGCAGCAGUGGGGAAUAUUGGACAAUGGGCGCAAGCCUGAUCCAGUCAUACCGCGUGGGUGAAGAAGGCCUUCGGGUUGUAAAGCCCUUUUGUUGGGAAAGAAAAGCAGCAGGUUAAUACCCCGCUGUUCUGACGGUACCCAAAGAAUAAGCACCGGCUAACUUCGUG